rnacentral:rRNA from 1 species
AUUGAACGCUGGCGGCAUGCUUUACACAUGCAAGUCGAACGGGCUUAGGUGCUUGCACCUAAGUUAGUGGCGAACGGGUGAGUAAUGCAUCGGAACGUACCGUGUAGUGGGGGAUAACCCGGCGAAAGUCGGAUUAAUACCGCAUACGAUCUAAGGAUGAAAGCAGGGGAUCGCAAGACCUUGCGCUAUACGAGCGGCCGAUGUCGGAUUAGCUAGUUGGUAGGGUAAAGGCCUACCAAGGCAACGAUCCGUAGCGGGUCUGAGAGGAUGAUCCGCCACACUGUGACUGAGAGACGGCCCAGACUCCUACGGGAGGCAGCAGUGGGGAAUUUUGGCCAAUGGGCGAAAGCCUGAUCCAGCCAUGCCGCGUGAGUGAAGAAGGCCUUCGGGUUGUAAAGCUCUUUUGUCCGGGAGCAAAUCCUGUUCACUAAUACUGAGCGGGGCUGAGAGUACCGGAAGAAUAAGCACCGGCUAACUACGUGCCAGCAGCCGCGGUAA